rnacentral:sRNA from 1 species
CGGGUCCGAGCCGCACAGUCCCAGGGCUCCGCGCCCCGGAACCGCAGCUCAGCCCGGGCUCGGACGCCUCCGAGGUCCGCGCCUGGCUGCAGGCCAAGGGCUUUAGCUCCGGAAGGAGGAGCUGCGGGCGGUGAGCCCCGAGGAGGGGGCACGUGUGUACAGCCAGGUCACCGUGCAGCGCGCGCUGCUGGAGGACAAAGAGAAAGUGUCAGAGCUGGAGGCAGUGAUGGAGAAGCAAAAGAAGAAGGUGGAAGGCGAGGUGGAAAUGGAGGUCAUUUGACCUGCCAGGCGCCCUUCGCAGAGUGACGAGGCCCCGUGGGAGAACGGACUCUUCAGACUCUCCCCAAUAGCGGAAGUCGAUCUUCUGAAGGAUGGCCAAUCUGCUCCGGCCCUGGUCUUCCCCCAUCCCGGUGGACAGACUUAACGAUCCUUGCUGCAGUCCCUCCGGAGAGGAUCUGGACUGGCUGGGAGUGGGGAGGGCGUGGAGACAGUCUACGGAAAGCGCUAGCAGACCCCCGAGAGGGUGCAGUGGAGCCCUGAGCAUUGUAAUAUGCCGCCCAGCCUAUAAACAGCCUCCUUGCUGA